rnacentral:ncRNA from 2 species
UACCCAAUUUAAGCGCAACGGUCUGAAUCAACUUGAUUCAGAAAACGAGGUAGAGGUUCCUCGCCGCAGGGCGAGUGCUAACCUACAAACUCCAAGUUGGUGCGUGCGACGAGCGGCUCGAAUAGCCUUCCCGCUGCUGCCCACGGAAACAGGCUUGGCUCAGUUCGUAGGGAAAAGCGAAUAAUCAGCGGAUGCCUCUUGGGUACACCACAGCCCAAAAGGGUGUUGCAAAACUUGUUGGCAACAGCAAGCACAAUCAACACCUUGUGGCCAG